rnacentral:rRNA from 1 species
GACGAACGCUGGCGGCGUGCCUAAUACAUGCAAGUAGAACGCUGAAGGAGGAGCUUGCUCUUCUGGAUGAGUUGCGAACGGGUGAGUAACGCGUAGGUAACCUGCCUGGUAGUGGGGGAUAACUAUUGGAAACGAUAGCUAAUACCGCAUAAUAACAGUUGUUGCAUGACAACUGUUUGAAAGGUGCAAUUGCAUCACUACCAGAUGGACCUGCGUUGUAUUAGCUAGUUGGUGGGGUAACGGCUCACCAAGGCGACGAUACAUAGCCGACCUGAGAGGGUGAUCGGCCACACUGGGACUGAGACACGGCCCAGACUCCUACGGGAGGCAGCAGUAGGGAAUCUUCGGCAAUGGACGAAAGUCUGACCGAGCAACGCCGCGUGAGUGAAGAAGGUUUUCGGAUCGUAAAGCUCUGUUGUAAGAGAAGAACGAGUGUGAGAGUGGAAAGUUCACAC